ensembl:lncRNA
GUGUUUAUGAUGACCCCUAGUUUACAGAGAACUCCCGCCCCCACACACCACAGAAGGUGUAUUCUUUACCAUCUGAGCCACCAGGAAAGCCCAAGAAUAUUGGAGUGGAUUGCCAUGGCCUCCUCUAGGGGAUCUUCCCAACCCAGGGAUUGGACCUGCAUCUCCACCGUUGGCAGGCGGGUUCUUUACUACUGGCACCACCUGGAAAGCCCUUGGGCCUCUUCUGAGACAUUCUUCACAUUUAUGAACCUUUCCAGUCAUCACAGUAAAGAAUCUGCCUGCAAUGUGGGAGACACAGGUUCGAUCCCUGGGUCUGGAAGAUCCCUUGGAGAAGGGAAUGGCUACCCAUUCCAGUAUUCUUGCUUGGAGAAUCCCAAGGACGGAGGAGCCUUGUGGGCUAGAGUGCAUGGGGUCACAAAGAGUCAGACACAACUGAAUGACUUUCACUUUCACUUCUCCCAGUCAUCACAUUUCAACCACUCAAUUCUGCAUUUAAUCUGGGCACCCUCCCGUUUUUCUUUUCACUGGCGUUAGGCAAGUUUCUGACAUGGAGUGUUGAUUCCUGUGUCUCUACCACAGCACGGGAUACAGUGCUGAGUCUACACGGGUGCUUGGAGAAUCCUCACCCACAGACCACACAUGGGCAUGCUGACUUCUGGGGGCUCCAUUUUCUAUUCUGUUGACCCCCAUUUAGUGGAGAUUCUGUGCAGCCAGACUCCAGCUUCUAUUUAGUUUUUUUUUUUAAUUAAUGUAUCUGUGUCUGGCUGUGCUGGGUCUCUGUUGCUGCGUGCUGGCUUUCUCAAGUUGCAGCAACCUGUGGCUCCUGUCCAGAUGUGCUGCUCAGCCUUCUCAUGGCGGUGGCUUCUCUUGCUGCAGAGCACCGGCUCUAGGCACACGGGCUUAGCUGCCCCACAGCAUGUAGGAUCUUCCCCAAGCAGAGAUCGAUCCAUGUCCCCUGCAUUGGCAGGCGGAUUCUCAACCACUGAACCAACAGCGAAGUCCAAUGUAGCUUCUAAUGGCCCAUGUCUGCUAGUCUCAUCAAAGACCUUCCUUUGGGAAUUGCUUGGUUCACCCUACAGUCAGCAGUCAAGUGCCCAGGAGUUUACACCAUUUCUGGCUCCCAGCAGUCUUUAGCCAAUGACUGACCCGUGCAGAAGUCUGAAAACCCACCUCCCUUGCCUUAGAGAAGUGAAGGUGUCACUUGUUCUUUAGAGCUCCCUGUGGGAUCAGGCUGAGGCUGGGAUGUGCCCUGAAAUCGCACCUUGCCUUGCCUUCCUUGUUUCCCUGAUUCGCUUCCAGUUUCCUAAUUAGAUCUUUUGCGUCUGAAUCCUCAGUUCCAGAUCUACUUCUAAGGAACCCACCUAAGAGAUCCCCAUCCAUAAGAAUGAGCAAGGCAGCACGGAUAAGCCACAUACACCAAGCUCUGCAGAGAGGAAAGGGAGGGAAGAAAAACACAUCCCUUUCCCUCCUUUUGGUUGCUUCUUGAUCACCACCACCACCACAACUCGGGGAAGAAAAAGUGAUUCAUUUGCAGUUUACCUUUUCUUUAACAUAAUAAACUUCCAUGUUUGGAGGCUUAAUUGGAUCUAUUCUUGGAUGUGACAAAAAGUUAGUGGGAGAUGAAAGGGGCACAUCAAGAAAAAAAAAAA